UGUUAUUCUAAAUAGCACACAUGGUGCAUGUCUCUGACACACAAGUUUAAAUGUGAGGAUGUUGAAGAAGGAAAAAAACUACAAGAUUACAAGGCCUUUGGAAAUUGAUGUUGUUGGAGAGAAUGUUACAUCAAUAAUGGGACAGGUAAAAGUCCUGCAAGACCAGUACAGAAGGACACAGCCAGAUACUUGCUUUGUUGAAGAGUGAAUAAAGAAGACCUUUGCCUGUAGGUGAAAGAAGAUUACUAGUAAAAUGACUGUUGAAGAUGCUGUCAACAAAUAUCCAUUCUUAAAGAGUCCAUCAGAGCUUCAUCAAGAAAUUGGUUUCCUGUAUUAAUCUGUUAAUCUAUGCCACCACUUUCAAGAAACAUUGCGUCCAGUGUGCUACGGCUUGCUCAAGGGAAAUCUCUAUCAACGCUGCACAAAGAGGCUAGAGAGGAAUCUUUCAGUGAAGACCAUCAUGGUAAUUGACUCUUCAACUUUGUCCUCUUUAUUAAGCCUAUCCAAUUCUAUCCUUGGAUGGAU